UACGUAGGGUGCAAGCGUUAAUCGGAAUUACUGGGCGUAAAGCGUGCGCAGGCGGUUGUGCAAGACCGAUGUGAAAUCCCCGGGCUUAACCUGGGAAUGGCAUUGGUGACUGUACGGCUAGAGUGUGUCAGAGGGGGGUAGAAUUCCACGUGUAGCAGUGAAAUGCGUAGAGAUGUGGAGGAAUACCGAUGGCGAAGGCAGCCCCGUGGGAUGACACUGACGCUCAUGCACGAAAGCGUGGGAGCAAACAGG
rnacentral:rRNA from 1 species